rnacentral:rRNA from 1 species
UACAGAGGUCCCAAGCGUUGUUCGGAAUCACUGGGCGUAAAGCGCACGUAGGCGGCUUUCUAAGUCAGGGGUGAAAUCCUGGAGCUCAACUCCAGAACUGCCUUUGAUACUGGAGAGCUUGAGUCCGGAAGAGGUGAGUGGAACUCCGAGUGUAGAGGUGAAAUUCGUAGAUAUUCGGAAGAACACCAGUGGCGAAGGCGGCUCACUGGUCCGGUACUGACGCUGAUGUGCGAAAGCGUGGGGAGCAAACAGG